CUGGCUCAGGACGAACGCUGGCGGCGUGCCUAACACAUGCAAGUCGAACGGAGAUGUUUAUUUCGGUAGACAUCUUAGUGGCGCACGGGUGAGUAACGCGUGAAUAACCUGACCCGAAGAGGGGGAUAACACCUGGAAACAAGUGCUAAUACCGCAUAAGACCACGGACCGGCAUCGGUCAGAGGUCAAAGGAGGAAUCCGCUUUGGGAGGGGUUCGCGUCCCAUUAGGUAGUUGGUGAGGUAACGGCCCACCAAGCCGACGAUGGGUAGCCGACCUGAGAGGGUGAUCGGCCACAUUGGAACUGAGAGACGGUCCAGACUCCUACGGGAGGCAGCAGUGGGAAUAUUGGGCAAUGGGCGAAAGCCUGACCCAGCAACGCCGCGUGAGGGAAGAAGGGUUUCGGCUCGUAAACCUCUGUCCUAUGGGACGAAGGAAGUGACGGUACCAUAGGAGGAAGCCCCGGCUAACUACGUGCCAGCAGCCGCGGUAAUACGUAGGGGGCGAGCGUUGUCCGGAAUGAUUGGGCGUAAAGGGCGCGUAGGCGGCCUGCUAAGUCUGAAGUGAAAGUCCUGCUUUCAAGGUGGGAAGUGCUUUGGAUACUGGUGGGCUGGAGUGCAGGAGAGGAAAGCGGAAUUACCGGUGUAGCGGUGAAAUGCGUAGAGAUCGGUAGGAACACCAGUGGCGAAGGCGGCUUUCUGGACUGAAACUGACGCUGAGGCGCGAAAGCGUGGGGAGCAAACAGGAUUAGAUACCCUGGUAGUCCACGCGGUAAACGAUGAAUGCUAGGUGUAGGAGGUAUCGACCCCUUCUGUGCCGCAGUAAACACAAUAAGCAUUCCGCCUGGGGAGUACGGCCGCAAGGUUGAAACUCAA
rnacentral:rRNA from 1 species